rnacentral:lncRNA from 1 species
CUCAGGGGCAAGCAUGUUUCUCUUGGAUAAGAGUGGGGUGAAAGGCACUAUCGAAGUCUGAAUGCUGGUUGCAGAAGAUAAUUUGAAGAAUGGGAACAUUAAGCCAUACUCAUUCAACCUACUCUUUAAGAGUUUGACAGGAGGGCCUAUACCUGCGUAUGCUCCCACCUCCAUCCCAAGGGGAAAAAGAUGUCAAUGGAUGUUAGUAUAAGCUUCCUGAAGACCAACUCUCAAACAGACAAAUUUUGGACAAAAUAUGAAAAACACCUGCCUAAAGAUCUGGAGAGUAGUCAUCCGCAGGCACAGUGUUGAAGGGAGUCAAUGUGGAGAAGCAAAUAGCAAAGGGAUGCGGACUUUCAGAGUUACAAGAGAAUUCAUGGAUUCCCUCCUCUGCCUCUUCAAGAAUCUGAUCCAUGGCCUACUUGACAGAUGACCUUCCUGCCUCUGCUUGAAUAUCUCCAGGGAUGGGAAGCUCACCACUAGUUGAGCCAGCUAUCGACACAUGGAUUUGAAGAGCUAUAUGACUCCCUAUAAUUCUAACAGACUACUGGGACUGGGUUUUAGGAUUGUCUCUCCCAUUAGAGAACUGGUAACUUUGGAACUGGAACUUUUAAGAUCAGUGUAGACUUGGAUGGGGUUCAAGAUUCUAGUGCCUGCCACCAGUCUGCUCAUUCUCUUGAGAUAACCUCAAAUACAUCAGUAAUAAAGUAAUG